rnacentral:tRNA from 1 species
GCCCGGGUGGUGAAAUUGGUAGACACAAGGGACUUAAAAUCCCUCGGCGCAAGCCAUACCGGUUCGAUUCCGGUUCCGGGCACCA